CAAUAGCGUAUAUUAAAGUUGUUGCAGUUAAAAAGCUCGUAGUUGGAUUUCGGGGUGGCCUGGCUGGUCCGCCGCAAGGUGAGUACUGGUCAGCCGCCCUUCCUCUCGAAAGCCCCGACUGCUCUUUACUGCAGUGGUCGGGUAGUUCGGGACGUUUACUUUGAAAAAAUUAGAGGGUUCAAGGCAGGCUAUCGCCUGAAUACAUUAGCAUGGAAUAAUGGAAGAGGACCUCGGUCCUAUUUUGUUGGUUUCUAGGGCCGAAGUAAUGAUUAAGAGGGACAGUUGGGGGCAUUCGUAUUUAAUUGUCAGAGGUGAAAUUCUUGGAUUUAUGAAAGACGAACUAGUGCGAAAGCAUUUGCCAAGGAUGUUUUCAUUAA
rnacentral:rRNA from 1 species